rnacentral:rRNA from 1 species
UGGGGAAUAUUGCACAAUGGGGGAAACCCUGAUGCAGCGACGCCGCGUGAACGAAGAAGGUAUUCGUAUCGUAAAGUUCUGUCCUAUGGGACGAUAAUGACAGUACCAUAGAAGAAAGCUCCGGCUAAAUACGUGCCAGCAGCCGCGGUAAUACGUAUGGAGCGAGCGUUGUCCGUAAUUAUUGGGCGUAAAGGGUACGCAGGCGGUUUAAUAAGUCGAAUGUUAAAGAUCGGGGCUCAACCCCGUAAAGCAUUGGAAACUGAUAAACUUGAGUAGUGGAGAGGAAAGUGGAAUUCCUAGUGUAGUGGUGAAGUACGUAGAUAUUAGGAGGAAUACCAGUAGCGAAGGCGACUUUCUGGACACAAACUGACGCUGAGGUACGAAAGCGUGGGGAGCAAACAGG